rnacentral:tRNA from 18 species
GUCGGGAUAGCUCAGUUGGUAGAGCAGAGGACUGA